rnacentral:piRNA from 1 species
UGGCUGACGUCCAUGGUGCAGUCGUGAUA